GAGUUUGAUCCUGGCUCAGGAUGAACGCUGGCGGCGUGCUUAACACAUGCAAGUCGAACGAACCUUCGGGUUAGUGGCGGACGGGUGAGUAACGCGUGGGAAUCUGCCCUCAGGAGGGGGAUAACGGUUGGAAACGACCGCUAAUACCCCAUAUGCCGAGAGGUGAAAUGAAUUUCGCCUGAGGAUGAGCCCGCGUCUUAUUAGCUUGUUGGUGAGGUAAUGGCUCACCAAGGCAUCGAUCAGUAGCUGGUCUGAGAGGAUGAUCAGCCACACUGGGACUGAGACACGGCCCAGACUCCUACGGGAGGCAGCAGUGGGGAAUUUUCCGCAAUGGGCGAAAGCCUGACGGAGCAACGCCGCGUGAGGGACGAAGGCCUCUGGGCUGUAAACCUCUUUUCUCAAGGAAGAAGAUAUGACGGUACUUGAGGAAUAAGCCACGGCUAAUUCCGUGCCAGCAGCCGCGGUAAUACGGGAGUGGCAAGCGUUAUCCGGAAUUAUUGGGCGUAAAGCGUCCGCAGGCGGCCCUUCAAGUCUGCUGUUAAAACGUGGAGCUUAACUCCAUCAUGGCAGUGGAAACUGAUUGGCUUGAGUAUGGUAGGGGCAGAGGGAAUUCCCGGUGUAGCGGUGAAAUGCGUAGAUAUCGGGAAGAACACCAGUGGCGAAGGCGCUCUGCUGGGCCAUUACUGACGCUCAUGGACGAAAGCCAGGGGAGCGAAAGGGAUUAGAUACCCCUGUAGUCCUGGCCGUAAACGAUGAACACUAGGUGUCGGGGGAAUCGACCCCUUCGGUGUCGUAGCUAACGCGUUAAGUGUUCCGCCUGGGGAGUACGCACGCAAGUGUGAAACUCAAAGGAAUUGACGGGGGCCCGCACAAGCGGUGGAGUAUGUGGUUUAAUUCGAUGCAACGCGAAGAACCUUACCAGGGCUUGACAUCCUCCGAACCUUUAAGAAAUUAGAGGGUGCCUUCGGGAACGCAGUGACAGGUGGUGCAUGGCUGUCGUCAGCUCGUGUCGUGAGAUGUUGGGUUAAGUCCCGCAACGAGCGCAACCCACGUUUUUAGUUGCCAGCAUUUAGUUGGGCACUCUAGAAAGACCGCCGGUGAUAAACCGGAGGAAGGUGUGGAUGACGUCAAGUCAUCAUGCCCCUUACGUCCUGGGCUACACACGUACUACAAUGCUACGGACAAAGGGCAGCAAACUCGCGAGGGCUAGCAAAUCCCAUAAACCGUGGCUCAGUUCAGAUCGUAGGCUGCAACUCGCCUACGUGAAGUAGGAAUCGCUAGUAAUCGCAGGUCAGCAUACUGCGGUGAAUACGUUCCCGGGCCUUGUACACACCGCCCGUCACACCAUGGAAGUUGGCCACGCCCGAAGUCGUUACUUUAACCCUUGUGGAGAAGGACGCCGAAGGUGGGGCUGAUGACUGGGGUGAAGUCGUAACAAGGUAACC
rnacentral:rRNA from 1 species